GAUGAACGCUGGCGGCGUGCCUAAUACAUGCAAGUCGAGCGAACGGACGAGAAGCUUGCUUCUCUGAUGUUAGCGGCGGACGGGUGAGUAACACGUGGAUAACCUACCUAUAAGACUGGGAUAACUUCGGGAAACCGGAGCUAAUACCGGAUGAUAUUUUGAACCGCAUGGUUCAAAAGUGAAAGACGGUCUUGCUGUCACUUAUAGAUGGAUCCGCGCUGCAUUAGCUAGUUGGUAAGGUAACGGCUUACCAAGGAAACGAUGCAUAGCCGACCUGAGAGGGUGAUCGGCCACACUGGAACUGAGACACGGUCCAGACUCCUACGGGAGGCAGCAGUAGGGAAUCUUCCGCAAUGGGCGAAAGCCUGACGGAGCAACGCCGCGUGAGUGAUGAAGGUCUUCGGAUCGUAAAACUCUGUUAUUAGGGAAGAACAUAUGUGUAAGUAACUGUGCACAUCUUGACGGUACCUAAUCAGAAAGCCACGGCUAAAUACGUG
rnacentral:rRNA from 1 species